rnacentral:lncRNA from 1 species
UUUAAACCUCAGCUGUUUGCGAUUUACAGUACAGCUUCAGAUCUGACCACCACCGACAGGAAAAGACGUGCGUCACUGCUGGCAGCAGCCCAGCUGGUCUCGGACGGCACCGCGGGGACCCUCCGCGGCUGCUCGCGGAGCGGCGCCCGUGCUGCCUCGCCGCUGGGGCCGGGCCGGGCCGAGCCGGGCCGGGCCGGGCCGGGGGGCGGAGCCGCAGGGCCGGGAGCGCGCCGGCGGCGGGUUGGGCUGUGUCACGCGGCCGCGGGGCUGCCAAGGCCGAACGGAAACACCACUCUCGCGGCGGCCGGAACCGGGCUACCAUAUUUGGCGUUUCCUCCGGGCCUUUUAAGGCGCUUCCGAGGCCCAAAAAAGGCUUUUCCUGCUCACGCCCUCUUGGGGCCGUACCGCGGAGCUUCCGGGGGCCGCCGCGCCGCNNNNNNNNNNNNNNNNNNNNNNNNNGGGCGCCCCGGCGGGCGUCUCGCUCGGGAGGGGCCCCGCCCGGCCCUUGCCGCGGGCCGCUCGUUUCGCGGCCGCGGGCCCGGGCAGCGGGUGCUCCGUGCGGGCCCCUGUGGCGGGCCCGGGGCCCUCAGGACGCACUGCGGACGCCCGCUCGCGGCGCGGCCCAAGGGAGCUGCGGCUGUGCGCUACCGUCUGAAUGGCUGUGCUCCCAGCGACCUUUGGAGGGCAGGCCUCUGGCCUUCCCUCGCUGUCGGGUGCUGCUACGGUUUGUUUAAUAGGGAGUGUGUCGCUUUGCCUGUACGCCUCAGAAAUAGCUGUGAGUUGCUCUUAACCAUGGGCCUUGGCUGACAGAAGAGAUGAGACUUAGCAGGAAGAAUAGAGAGCUACAAGUGGAGAUUUUGGAGUGAAGAGCGAUGUGAUCAUGGGCCAUUCUUUCCUCAGCAGCUUUCACUGGUCCAUGUCUGGACCAUGGAGGAUCUGAGAAAGAGCUUAAGUAACCCCCAAGAAAAAUUACUUUUUAGACCCUAACCUGACAUUCAUGGAGUGAAGUGAUCUGAGCUGCAGAAGGCACCCUUAGGAGAGCUGCCCACAAGCACACCUUCACCAUUGUUGAGUUUGACUGAAGACAGGUGAAGUGGUUGAAGGUUGGCUCAUGAAGAACUGUAACUGAGGUCUCUAAGGCUAUGUUUGUUGACUUUUGAUAUAAGUAUCCGUUUCGUUCAAAAGUUUUCUGUUUGUGGCCCAGUUGACUAGAAUUCUCAAGAGUUACGUGUGGAGGUAAAAAAUACUUAGGAAGAGGGUUUAGAUGUGUCACUCUUGAGCCAUACGUUGCAUGUUUUUACAUGUGUACAUUUUCUGCGUGUAGCCAUACUGCUGGUUACACCUAGAGGGGAGGCUCUAUGUUUUAAAGUACUCUGAGGCUCUAGGAUGAUGUAUGAGCUGUAGAUAAUGAACAAGAACUUUUUAAAUAGUUAAGUUGUUCUGCUAUAAUCAAAAUGUCUUUGUUUUUAAAAACCCAGGCUUGACUUACAGGCUAAUGAUUUAUGAUCUUGACUUGACUAAAGAAACUUAAUCCUGUUAAAGAACAGAAAACAACAUAUAUGCAUAGUGUCUAGUGUUCUUUGGGCUUUGAUUUCUGAUUGUUCUUUGACACUGCCGUAAUGAAAAUGACAGAUGGUUAGGCAGUAUUAUUCUCAACAUUCACAUUUCACUUCCUUACCUACAAAAAAUAUUAAUAAAGCGUGGUUCUGUAUUUUUUUUAAUUAAUAU